GGUAAGCAUAUAGCAGCAUGUUCGACUGCGCGUCAAGAAUUCAGCGUAACAAGUUUGUAUGAAGGUCUGGUUAUUAAAUGGGUACAUAGUUCAAUAGUAAUAUCCUUUAAAACGCUCUGGUGACAAACACAUUUUGCAGCCCUGUUUCCAAUUGGCCACAUGGCUGGGAUAACCUAUUAAAAUAGCUAGCUAACAACCAUGGAGGAGGGUGAAAGGAUAGCAGCCCCAACUGUCAGUGAGAGAGCAGGCUAUUCUGGAUAGGACAGGUACUUUUGUGUAGUUCCUGUCCCUAAAAUUGAGGAUGGAGAUAAUAUUAACUUAAUAUUCAGUGCGGUCUAAUUUGACUAUAAUGAAGUCUGUUUCUUGUGAGGUUUUCUGUCCUCAGAUAAAGAGAGCUAUGAAAGCCUGUAUACACAUGAAGAGCAGUGGUUCUCAGUCCUGGUCCUGGAGACUCAGAGGGACACAUUUUGUUUUUGCCUAAGCACUAUACAGCUGAUUCAAAUGAUCAACUCAUCAUCAAGCUUCAAGUGUUAACAUGUAGGGCACUGCAAGGUUGGGUGACCAGGGCCAUCUGGGACUGCCUCCUGGAGGAAUUCAGGUGUGUGAUGACUACCUGUGUUCUGCAUAACUUCAUGAGGAUGGACACGAGGACCAGGAGGGGAUCUGCAGCUCGCCGCUGUGUGCCAGAGGAGGUCUGCUGCUCAGCAGGAUGUUUCAAGGAUGGGGUCCAACAACGCAGCAAGAGAGGCAAUCUGUGUGCAGGAGGUCUUCACUUCCUACUUCUUCGAAGAGGGAGUUGUUCCCUGGCAACACCAUAGACUACACUAUGCACAACCAAAGGCUCUUUAAGAGCCAUUCACAUUGCAAUAAGAGUAUUUUUCCAUUUACUUAGCUAUGUUAACUGCAGUUAUUCAAUUCCCAGUUUCUCUCCCUUUGAUUUCUACUUCUCAGGUGAGGGUACUGUUUAGGUAAGGGUGUGAUGUCUGUACAAAAACAAAACAAGCUAUUUUAAGUCACAUUUUUUUCAAUAUGGGUAUUCAAAACCCUAUAACCCACAUCUACACACAUGUAUCAAUCUGAUUGAUGGAUUGUGUUGUACAGUAACCAGGCUCAGGUGUAUAACUGUGGCUCCUUCCACCUUCAAAGAAUGGGCAAAAGAGCCAACCAUGGAGAAUAGCAAGACACUUGAAUAUUUCUAUAACUAUGCUAUAUUGUUUGUCCUCGUGUGUUCGUUCAUGUUAUUCAGCAUGAGGUACUCUGCAGCCACUUAGUGUGGUGUGGACACCAGGUGAGGCGACAGAUUCCUGUUGAACACUGUCCCUUUAACUACCUUCAUUUCUCAAUAAGUCUCUCCUUCACUUCAUCCCCCUCUCCUCUUCUCCCUAAAUCCUCUAGGUUAUAUCAGCUGUGUCGGUGAACCCCUCCUGCAUCUGAACUGGCUACAUCGAGGGCACAGCAUGAUAAGAGGUGAUAGGUCACUUGAUGUUUUGACGUGAGAGGAUGCCAACCCCCAGUCCCAUCAUCGCUACCUCACCCGCUUUUAAGAUAACCUUCGGGCUGACUAGAGACACUUAUGUAAUUGUGAUGAACUGAGAGAAUAUUUGGGUUACACUGUGAUUCAUUAAUCAUAGGAGCAGGGGAAGGCAGCAUAUGUUCUUACCUCUUUCCCUUUUACACCUCUCUCGCCACCUUUCUUCCUCUAUUAUAAUGCAUAACAGAUAUGCAUUGAAGUACAGAUUGAACUUGUAUUGAUAACACUUGGAUAAUGAACUGCUUUCAAUAAAGUGUUUCAAAUUGAAA